AGAUGUGAGGGCAAUCUGACUGCUACAUCUGUCACCCCAUUGAUCACCAAGGUUGAUUUGGUUGAUCUGGCUGGCUAGGUGGAUGUCCCCUUGCUCACUGCCCCAUGUGCAUCUCUUCAGAAGCUGCAUGCGUCAAAGAGGACAACCUUCUCCAGAUAGAGGAGGACCAGUCUUCAGUCAAGGGUUAUGAGAGUAGCAGGCUGCUAGAACCUCCAAAAAAAUAAAAAACAAAAAAAGAGCACAUUUCUAGUGUAGCCUAUCAAGUUUAUAAAAAUGCAAAUAAAUAAAAAUGGGAUUUUUGAUGUUCAUUGCUGCUCUAUUC
rnacentral:snRNA from 1 species